rnacentral:rRNA from 1 species
AUUGAACGCUGGCGGCAUGCCUUACACAUGCAAGUCGAACGGCAGCACGGGGCAACCUGGUGGCGAGUGGCGAACGGGUGAGUAAAGUAUCGGAACGUACCAUUCAGUGGGGGAUAACGUAGCGAAAGUUGCGCUAAUACCGCAUAUUCUCUCCGGAGGAAAGCAGGGGAUCGCAAGACCUUGCGCUGAUUGAGCGGCCGAUAUCAGAUUAGCUAGUUGGUGAGGAAAAGGCUCACCAAGGCGACGAUCUGUAGCGGGUCUGAGAGGAUGAUCCGCCACACUGGAACUGAGACACGGUCCAGACUCCUACGGGAGGCAGCAGUGGGGAAUUUUGGACAAUGGGGGCAACCCUGAUCCAGCCAUGCCGCGUGAGUGAAGAAGGCCUUCGGGUUGUAAAGCUCUUUCGGCCGGGAAGAAGUCGCAUGGGUUAAUACCCAGUGUGGAUGACGGUACCGGAAUAAGAAGCACCGGCUAACUACGUGCCAGCAGCCGCCGUAACAC